CGUAGUCUCAGAGUAGUUCGUAUCGUGCACAGACACGCUGCGGCGUGCUUAACACAUGCAAGUCGAACGAUGAAGCCUAGCUUGCUAGGUGGAUUAGUGGCGAACGGGUGAGUAAUACGUGAGUAACCUACCUUUAACUCUGGGAUAAGCCUGGGAAACUGGGUCUAAUACCGGAUACGACCAAUCUCCGCAUGGGGUGUUGGUGGAAAGCGUUAUGUAGUGGUUAUAGAUGGGCUCACGGCCUAUCAGCUUGUUGGUGAGGUAACGGCUCACCAAGGCGACGACGGGUAGCCGGCCUGAGAGGGUGACCGGCCACACUGGGACUGAGACACGGCCCAGACUCCUACGGGAGGCAGCAGUGGGGAAUAUUGCACAAUAGGCGCAAGCCUGAUGCAGCGACGCCGCGUGAGGGAUGACGGCCUUCGGGUUGUAAACCUCUGUUAGCAGGGAAGAAGAGAGAUUGACGGUACCUGCAGAGAAAGCGCCGGCUAACUACGUG
rnacentral:rRNA from 1 species